CCCUUCCCCAGCAAUCAAAGGAAAUCAAUCCCAAAUGUAUGGUCCCACCUGAUCCCAUCAGAAGAUCCCUGCUGAGUGCUCUUGCAGAAAGAAAGGGCCGAGGAGUGACCCCAAUGCAAGAAACCAAACCCUUCAAUGUGGCCCUUUCCCUCUGUGCUCGCAGGAAAAAGCCAACCUACAGUCAGCUGCACAGAAGGAAUGCCACACUUAACUCUGCCAACAGGAAAAUAAAGCCACCCUGGUCCUCCUGGCCUCCAUUAAGAUAGCAUAACAACACAAGAGCCAUGGGGAGCAGCCUCAGACCAGCUGCUAAUGCCUAAGUAUCUUCUCUCUGGUAACUGCCUACUGCUUUCUAUUUAACGUAAUUCAUCAGCCAGAUUAGAGUAGGUCAUUCUGCAGCAUAUGAAGAAAGCAAGGCUGAUAACAUAACCUGACACAUCAAAAAUAUUCUUCUGCGAACAGCCUGAAGAGCUGUUGUUUACAAAAAGCUGUGAGCAAGCAAAAUAACCAUAUAGUUUGCCUACAGAUUCAAAUCUCCACGUCACAAACCAGAACGCCAUUCAAGCCUUCCAUAAACGUUAAGAGAAGUUCCGCGCCUGCCAGGGGAAGCGAAAUCCGGGCUGACUUUGAUCGACACCGAGAAGGGGGUACCUCAGUCCUGCGUUCCUAGAUGGCGGGUUUGCUCGGUGCACCACCUAGCCCUGCCGUCCGGAUCCGGGGCAAAGUCGUCCGCAGUCUUUCAGGCCGGUUCUCAGCCUCUGCCUGUAUUGUAACUCAGCCCGGGCGCAGUCAGAGAAUCGAAUCCCAGCAACAAAGCCGGGGGCGCAAACCCGCCGUGAUGAACCGGUCGGCCUGCCCCCCAACCCCUGCCUCCUCCCUUCCCGACUUGCCUUUGAAAAGACAGGCGUUGGGGCCAGAAAACGAAUACGUCCGAGGCGAGGAGGACGGAAGCAGCGGGACACAAGUGGCCUGAGUGGUCUGGGGGUCGUGGUUUGUUUACGUGUCUCUUAAACACCCAGGACCCACGGAGCUCUCGGCCUGUGACCUCUGCUUUGUCGCAGCUGCACAGUGGCCCCACCGCCCUCCGCAGGUGGAGGACUUCCCGCGAAGGCCUGCAGCAGCCUCGCCGCCUUGACUGUCCCAUAAAGUACCAGCACGCUCUGGUCAUCGCCUGGAGAGUUUAAUGUGAAUACUGAAGAACAGGGAGGGCUCUCCUUACAUCAGCUAACUCUGAGGCCAUCAGCAUGAUGUUACCUAGGGCUUCCUUGUCUCGGAAGGCUGGAAGAUGGGUCUGGAGGGAGGGAAAACCACCAACGUGGCUAGGAAAACGUUCCAGUCCUCCAAAAUAUUAUCAAUUGAAUAAUUUAGUUCUGAUUUUAUGUUUAUUUCACUACCUUUCUAAGGCGUUGGG
ensembl:lncRNA